UACGGGGGGGGCAAGCGUUGUUCGGAAUUACUGGGCGUAAAGGGCGCGUAGGCGGCUCGCUAAGUCGGAUGUGAAAACUCUGGGCUCAACCUCGAGACGCCGAUGGAAACCGACUGGCUAGAGUCCGGAAGAGGAGAGUGGAAUUCCCGGUGUAGCGGUGAAAUGCGCAGAUAUCGGGAAGAACACCCGUGGCUAAGGCGGCUCUCUAGUACGGUACUGACGCUGAGACGCGAAAGCGUGGGGAGCGAACAGG
rnacentral:rRNA from 1 species